UACGUAGGGGGCGAGCGUUGUCCGGAAUCAUUGGGCGUAAAGCGCGUGUAGGCGGCUCGAUAAGUCCGGUGUGAAACCUUGGGGCUCAACCCCAAGCCUGCACUGGAUACCGCCGAGCUAGAGUCCGGGAGGGGAGAGCGGAAUUCCUAGUGUAGCGGUGAAAUGCGCAGAUAUUAGGAAGAACACCGGUGGCGAAGGCGGCUCUCUGGAGCGGUACUGACGCUGAGACGCGAAAGCGUGGGGAGCGAACAGG
rnacentral:rRNA from 1 species